rnacentral:rRNA from 1 species
AGUGAACGCUGGCGGUAGGCCUAACACAUGCAAGUCGAACGGCAGCACAGGAGAGCUUGCUCUCUGGGUGGCGAGUGGCGGACGGGUGAGGAAUACAUCGGAAUCUACCUUUUCGUGGGGGAUAACGUAGGGAAACUUACGCUAAUACCGCAUACGACCUACGGGUGAAAGUGGGGGACCGCAAGGCCUCACGCGAUUAGAUGAGCCGAUGUCCGAUUAGCUAGUUGGCGGGGUAAUGGCCCACCAAGGCGACGAUCGGUAGCUGGUCUGAGAGGAUGAGCAGCCACACUGGAACUGAGACACGGUCCAGACUCCUCCGGGAGGCAGCAGUGGGGAAUAUUGGACAAUGGGCGCAAGCCUGAUCCAGCCAUACCGCGUGGGUGAAGAAGGCCUUCGGGUUGUAAAGCCCUUUUGUUGGGAAAGAAAUCCUGUCGAUUAAUACUCGGUGGGGAUGACGGUACCCAAAGAAUAAGCACCGGCUAACUUCGUGCCAGCCGCCGCGGUAAAAC